AACGAACGCUGGCGGCAUGCCUAACACAUGCAAGUCGAACGAGACCUUCGGGUCUAGUGGCGCACGGGUGCGUAACGCGUGGGAACCUGCCCUUAGGUUCGGAAUAACUCCCCGAAAGGGGUGCUAAUACCGGAUAAUGUCUUCGGACCAAAGAUUUAUCGCCUUUGGAGGGGCGCGCGUGCAUUAGCUAGUUGGUAGGGUAAAAGCCUACCAAGGCGACGAUCCAUAGCUGGGCUGAGAGGAUGAUCAGCCACACUGGGACUGAGACACGGCCCAGACUCUUACGGGAGGGAGCAGUGGGGAAUAUAGGAAAAUGGGCGAAAGCCUGAUGCAGCAAGGCCGCGUGAGUGAUGAAGGCCGUAGGGUUGUAAAGCUCUUUUACCCGGGAUGAUAAUGACAGUACCGGGAGAAUAAGCACCGGCUAACUCCGUG
rnacentral:rRNA from 1 species